rnacentral:rRNA from 1 species
AUGAACGCUGGCGGCGUGCCUCAUACAUGCCAGUCGAGCGAACGGACGAGAAGCUUGCUUCUCUGAUGUUAGCGGCGGACGGGUGAGUAACACGUGGAUAACCUACCUAUAAGACUGGGAUAACUUCGGGAAACCGGAGCUAAUACCGGAUGAUAUUUUGAACCGCCUGGUUCAAAAGUGAAAGACGGUCUUGCUGUCACUUAUAGAUGGAUCCGCGCUGCAUUAGCUAGUUGGUAAGGUAACGGCUUACCAAGGCAACGAUGCAUAGCCGACCUGAGAGGGUGAUCGGCCACACUGGAACUGAGACACGGUCCAGACUCCUACGGGAGGCAGCAGUAGGGAAUCUUCCGCAAUGGGCGAAAGCCUGACGGAGCAACGCCGCGUGAGUGAUGAAGGUCUUCGGAUCGUAAAACUCUGUUAUUAGGGAAGAACAUAUGUGUAAGUAACUGUGCACAUCUUGACGGUACCUAAUCAGAAAGCCACGGCUAACUACGUG